GCCCCCGUUGUCUAAUGGCUAUGACGUCAGACUUCUAACCAGGGGGUCUUACCUAUAUUGCUUACGUAAUCUUGGGGCGAUCUGGAGGUUGCGGGUUCGAGUCCCGCCGGGGGUA